AGAUGUUGACACUUCACGAUACAGCAAAAAUCAGCUGUCGCCGUCAACCAUUUAUAGCACCUAGAGCCAUUUUUUGAAAACGGACCGAACUAAGUUGUACACUCAAUAUAAUUUAAUACACACAGGCUGUUUUAUAACUACUAAUAUAAAUAGGAGAGCAGGAGAGGAGGGGGGUGAUACUACAAGUCAAAAUAAAUAGAAAAUGUUCAAUAAAAAUUUUUUAUAUGAGUGUUAAAAAAAAUAACUUUGUAUGUUCGUCUGGUGCACGAAUACUUAGCUACAUCUGGACUCAGUUGCCUUCGUUAUAUGUCGUUUCUAUAUUCGUUUGUAUUUAUAAAUAUUGUCAAUAGCAAGAUAUUUUUUGUAUCAGUUCUGCUAGUUUAACUCUCAAGUUUUUAUUCUUCUAGAUUAAACUAUAUUCUCAGUUAAUCUUAGUUAUUUGGCAAAAUCGACUACCAUGUCGAAGAAGUGAGUCAAAUAAACUGUAUUUUGUGAUUGUUCAUUUUGUUCUUUAAAUAAUCUGUUUAUCUGGAUGUCGAUAAUUAGGAUAUCGAACUUGAUAGUAAUUAGCUACAACAAAAACGUUGCUGCCACAUAUAUUUAGUGUAAGAAUCAUGUCUGUAUACUCUCGAUUGUAGCCAUAUCGAUAGAAAAAUAGAGACGGAGAGUUAUAAGACUCGUGAUCACCACAGAACUCUCAAUUAAUGACGUCAGAGGUAUGUGAUAAAAAUUUUUACAAAAUACAUUAAAAUAAAAAAAAUAUAUCCAUAAAAUGACACUUGCAAUCGAUAUAUCUGUUAAAUAGUUCAGACGCUUUCUUUUUGCUCUAACACUUUAUAAAUUGUCGUAAAAUUUACUUAACACAAUUUAUCUUUUUAACCUACCAUUUUAAAUUAUCAUUUUAUAACGUUAAUUUUACAAUUAUUUAUUGAUUGUUAGAAUAAAAUGAGUGUAUGAAAUAUUUUGCAAAUUUGCUCGAUCGAUUGCAAGUGUCAUUUUAUGGAUGCAUUUUUUUUUAUGUAUUUUACAAGAAUUUUUAACGUGCAUUUUUUCGUUUCUGACGUCAUAAAUUAAAGUGGCCAUGACAAUGACACAGACUUCAAACUAGCAAACUAAUAUUAAAAGUCUUGUUACUGAUAGUGUUUAUAAAUACAAUUGCCUAUAAAGACUGCGUAAAACGAGGAGAGUUGAAUCCAGAUACAGUUAAGUGCUGACACACCGAGUGAAUAUUCAAAGAUGUUUUCCUGGAAAAUGAAGCUUCGUAUAAAAAAUUUUUAUUCUACAGUUUUUACUGAUUUUUUCCAUGUAAAAUUUCAUUUCGCUCCCUUCCUGCUUGUAUUACUAGUUUUGAUACUGCACUCUAUAUGCAGAAUGUUCAAGAAAAUGAAUUCGAGACUUACUGGAUCUCAGUAAGCAAAUUAAUAACAGAGUACACUUAGGAUGUUUACGACAACUAGUCGGAUUUUCAAUCGGAUCAGGCAGUGGGACUCAAAUGCUUAAUUUAAAAGAAUUCCCUAGAUUGAUCGGAUCCGUGGUCGGCAUUAAUCGGAUGUCUCUGCAUUAAUCGGAUUGAAUCAGAACAUCAGGACAAGGGAUAAAACAAGUUUACAUUCUUCAGAGAUUUAAAAUAGAAUAAAAAUAUAAAAGUAGAUGUAACGAAGCUUUGAGUUUAACAAAACCAAAAUGAAUACAAGUGGAGAUGCAACAAUUGAUAAACAUCGAUUUGAAAUCUGUAAAUUUCAAUGGAUGAAAGAGGCAACUAAACUUUUAAUAGAAAAAAUGAAAUCAUACAUGUCAUUAUUCAAUAAUAAAAAUUGCAUGCACAAAGAAAUAUGGAAAAAAAUAGUAAGCAAUUUUAAUAGAGAAGGUUAUAAAAUAAUAUAUGAACUAUGCGCUGUUAAAUGGAAAAAUUUAAAACGAAGAUAUCAUAAUAUAAAAGAUGCAAAUAAUCAAAUAGAGGUAGAGAAUAUUGGAAAUAUUUUGAUAUAAUUGAUGAUUUUUUGAACACACCAAAUCAGAGACAGAACCUGUAUCCAUUACCUCAAGUACAAAGGGUUUUAGAAUAAGGCAAUCAAAUUCACAUAAAAAAAAUUUAAAUGAUGAAAAUGACAGUACACUGUCUGAUAUUUCGCAUGCUGUGACAUGUUGUAUUAAACCACUUCAAAGAAAAAAUAAGCAAUUUAUAUGGAUGGAAAAAUUAUAUAAACAGAGGCAGCUUUACUAUGAGAAAAAUAUAAAUAUGCAAGAGAGAUACUUGAAUUUAUUGGAAAAAUAUAUAUAAAAAGAUAAUGUACACUAAGGAAAAGAAAAUAACUAUAAUUAAUCUUUGUGUAUAAUGCGAAAAAAUUUUAUUUUUGCAAUUAUUAACUCUUAUUAUAAAAAAAACUAUUGGUUAUAUUAAACGCGUUGUAAUACUAUUAAAAAAAUAGAUAGUUUAUUUUUUUAUUAGCUAAUUAGUUAGAGUUGUUAAUAGAGUCAUAGAGUUGUUAAUUUUGUCAUUUGAUCAUAAAACUAAAUAUAUAAUUUUAUUAAACUUUGUGUAAUAAGAAAUUUUAUUUCAUAUAUACAGGGUGAGUCAUUUUAGUCUAUGGAUCCGAAUAUCUUCCAAAUUACGGUAUCUACAAAAAAAUGGU